UUUGGCAACUUCUUUAAAGAAGGCAAGAGCUGAACUGUCAGCACUGAUUUUAGUUUUGCAGUGCUAUGGCUUUCUAUUUAUAGUGGUCAUGAAAGAGGUCCUGAAGGCAGCAUUUCUUGUCAGUGAAUUAAAGAUUCCCUCAUAUCUGCAGUGUUUGCUUUAAUUUUAAUAUUUUUCAUGGUUAAUGAAAAAUAGUCUGAGAAAGAGGGAGUAAACAAAGUUUUUCGGGUCUCAUCAGCUUACUUGCAUCUUCUUAUUAGUGGCCCAAAUUAGAGCCCUGUUUGAGUGGCCACCAUGCUCUGUGGAUGCCAACGUGGGAAGCUGCUCAUUGCUGAGGGGAUGUCACUUUGUACGGUUAUCUUGCAGCCUUGCAUGUUAAUGUGGAGACUCUGGCCUGUCUUGUUUAUACCAACUGAUCAAAUAUAAAGCACCUACCUCAAAUCCAAGGUGGCUUCCUGAUGUCCCCCCUAAGUGGAGCAGGAGAUAGCUCCAGCUAGGAAGAAGCAGUUCAGGGCUCUGACAAUGCUUCCAGCUGCAGAGCUGCCCACUGCUCUCUGGUGCAGGAGCUGUGUUCUUGCCAACCAGCCAAGCUCAAGUCACUUAAUAAGCAUCAUGGGCUUCUCAUAUUUCGUUGCCAAUGUAUACCUUUGGGCAACAUUCACACUCUCCAGUGCCUGCUAAUAAUUUGUUUUCUUACACUUUCCUGGGAUUUGGAUUGGCACCAAAGCCCCAAAGGGAAGAUUCUAGCUGUCAAAAAGCGAAUAUUUAUAAUGAGUGUAAGGUGUAGAUGGAAACCACACAGUUGUCAUACAGCAGCUAUGACAUAAAAGAUGCUAUUUCUUCCAUGCUGUUUCCCGUAAGGGAAAGAGAUAUUUUGGGAGGGCAGAAGAUGUGAUUACAGAAGACAGCUACAUGGAAACUGUCACUGGAUGCUCCACAUGCCGAAAUAGAGUAGUGUGCAGGAACAAGGCUGUGAGAAAUAUUUUAAUAAAUAUCAAGUCCAUGGAUGACUAACAAAAAUAUGUAAGUAUUGAUUAAACAUGUCUGGCUAGCCUAUGCCACAUUGUCCAGUUGAGGAACACAAAAUACAGAGUGGGAAGGUGAGGUUGUCCUCCUGGACCUGAAACUACUGUUUUCUAAGGCCUCAAAUUGUAUUUUUCUCUGAUUUCAUAUCCUUCAGACCAGCAACAAGUGCCUCAGCUUCCUCAUUUCAUAAAUGCUGCUCUUUGCUAACAUAAUUCCAGACCACUGAUUAUAAGCUAUAUAUAGGACACAGGACUGAGUAUUAUGGAAGUCUGAGAUAUUAAUUAAUCAUCACUUUUUAGGUUCCUGGCCCUUUGCUGAGUGAUAGCAGACUUUGCAGCCCUGUGGGAGCCCGGUAUAGAGACCAAAAUUCCCUUUCUGUGUCUGUGACUUCUCCCAUCAACCUCAGAGCCCUGGUGCUCAGGGUUUGCCUGCUGUGGUGCCACCCCUGCUCCCAGGCCCUUCACCCUCACACCUCGUGCCAGGAUCCCACAGGCAGUGUCAGCUGUUGAAAUGGCUUAGUAACUACUAUAGGACAGCACCUCUUCAAAUCUGGAAUUUAUCCUCAUGCAAACUGAUGACCAUACAGAGCAAUCCUAGCACGUAGCAUCUUUCUCUGUAAUGGUACCGCAUCAUGGGUCUGUAUAUCAAGGAACCCUUUGUGCUCCCUGUUGUCAGCAGAUGUAGUGAGCUCUACCCAGCUGCUCCUGCAACAUCCUGUUUUCCUCAUGAUGCUUCAGGGAAUCUCUGAUAUCUUCAGAAGUGCCCUUGUUUAAGAGAAAAAUUAUUGACCCAAGGACAAGCAUCAGAAAUGGCUUUCAGAAAUAAUUCAGAUUCACUAGUUAAAGAUUACAAAUCAGUCUGACAUUGUUGGCUGCAAAUUCUACAGAGAAAAAUAUGAUACUCUACACACUCUGAUACUUUUGCCAGAGUCUCUGCAAGAGAAGGCACAUUGACUUGAAAGUUAAUCAUAGUUCUGGCCCCAGAUGGUUACAGUGAGUCUGCUUCUCUGUCUGUGGGAGUCCUAAAGGAUACUUGAUAGCUGUCCAAGUCUACACUAAGUUACAAGAGAUGAAGAAGAUAAAAAGUCCAUAUGCAAGACCUGCCAUGAGCAACCAGAGAGGGAAACAGGAAUGGCCCCUGCCCCACCCUUACCACAUCUGUUCUGGAGCAAAUUAUCACAGACACUCAGCAACUGCAUGUCUGUCUUGGAUGAAAUGCAUUCCUUCUCUUGUGGAACAAACUGUAAGCAUGAAAUAGUGCAAUGUAAGUAAAACUUUUAGCAAAGGUUGAGUUUCACAGCUACACAUACUAAAGCCCUGAGAACAGGAAUCGUGUGUUCUGCUUUGUCAUUGUAAUAACCAAUGGUACUUGGAAGUUGUUCUAUCAGCACAGAACCUCAAUGCUGCAGCCUGGAAAACCUUCUCUUUCUGUUAAGACUCCAAGAAGGACUGCUAGCAGUGUAUGUGACUGCUGGGCAAAUGAUACAGUUCAAGUCCAUUGAGCAAACAGGCCAAGUAGGUACAUGGGAAUCAGCAAGUUGUAAUACAACUGGGAAUAAGUAACACCUUUGUGACACCUUUGGGGACCAAAUGGUGCUGCAAAACGUGCAUGCAGAACUGUGAGCAACCCAAAGGGGUAAGCAUCUGUACCUACAACAUGCAAUUAGUAAUUUACAAUUACUAAUGCCACACUCAGCAAUUAUGUUUUAAAACUGGUAUGUUUUGUUUAACAUGUGGCUGCGGACUGAUUUAUUUUUUGAUUUCAACUCCUUAAUGAAUUGCAGUAAUUCUGGCAUUUAUUGUGAAAAUGGGUGUGCAGGAUUUUAUCUCUGAAUAUCCAGUCUGGUUUUUAUAGCUGCUAUUUUAUUCCUCUGUGAUUGCUCUAGGACUGACUUUGCUUGCCAAUAGUUACAAGUUAAAACCAAGUUUUAAUAUAUUUCUUGGCUUAAGUAUAAAAUUGAGGGCAAGGGUUGCUUAAUUUGUGAUUUGUGUGGGGUUUUUUCUCUCCAUCUUCUGGUUUCUUUUCCUAUUAAUUUCUAAUUCAGUUGCUCCAAGUCUUUGGUAUAUCGAUCUGUUUCAUAUUAAAGGAAUAAUAGCAAUUUUCCCUGAAUAAGCAACAUUUGGUGAUGUGUGUUCUAUUUAGGCAAGAAGGAAGAAUCCAAGAAGAAACUGUUCUUCCCAGGGAAGGGAAGAAAUGUCACCCGUCAAACAUCAUAGCACUGCAAUGAGGAUCUCAGCCUAAUGGGGCUAGUGGACAGGAAAAUGUUGGCCUUUGCUGACACUGAAUCUCUCUUUUUCUUCCUGGAGGGAUGUCUCCACUGCAGAGGGCAGCACUCAGAGCCAGAAUCAAUAUCAGGGAUUGAGGAGACCACAGGAAAAGAGGAAUUUCUACUCUGUCUACAGCAGAGUGAGAGGAUUGGGAUUAGCUGCCUAAGUCAAGGUCAGAUGCUAAGAGAAUAUUAGAGGUAUCAUCUGAGGGGAAGAAUCACAGAAUGGGUAAGGUUGGAACAGACCACAGUGGUCACUUGGUCCAACCUCCCUGCACCAGACCUAAUUAAGCAAAGAGCAUGCACACAAAAGGAAUACAAGAAUAUUGACAAAUAGAAGGUUUCUAAUUGCUGAAGCAGUUACAAGCCAGUGGGAGAAAUGGGAAGAAGAAAUCUACCUGAUUGCAAAGUGAAGGUGCAGGAGAUUAUCUCAAUCUGUCUGGGUUUUGUGCCUCUGAUAGAUUCAGGGCUCAGCAGUUUGCUCACACUACUACCUGAAGGCUGCCCUGUGGCGUUAUGAGCUCCUGAUAGUUUGUGCAGUUUCCCACCGCCCCCUGAUCUUCAAGUGCCAAUGUCUGGCAGAAAGCAUUAUGCAGAUCCUGCCUUGUAAGUAUCUUGGGACUUUCCAAAGGGCUCUGACCUGGUCAAGAGCCAACUGAAUUGAUAGUCAGCCCAAGCUGAGGUGAAGGGAACCUGAACUUCAGUUGUUGGAGAUUUUCAACUUCAGAGCACCCUUAUGAGCACUCCAGCAGGCAGAGCCUUAACAGACCCUUGGAACUCCAGUCCUUUGUGAGCUUUUCAGUGGUUAGUUAUGGUGAGUGGAUGUUCUGGGUCCUGUGGGUUUCCAUGUACUUUCCAGUCAGAUGAUUCUGAACUCACAGAAUUCAGUAAAGCACAUAAAUGGGCUUCGCUGAAGUGGGAGAAGGUUCAGACUAGAUUUCUGCAAUGCCCUUGUACCUCUGUCCCACCACCAGCCAAAACCUCUGUGUGAAAUGGGUUCUUGAUGUCACUGUAGAAUGGCAUGUGAUUCCCUUAUAAUUUGGGGUGACUUGAGGCUUAAAUCAUGGAACCUCACAGACUGGAACUCUGAGGAGAAGGGAGAACAUGCAAUAUUCUUUCAAAAGGUUGUAAAGUCUCCUUAAUAUCUACUACCCAGAGCCAUAUGGAAAAUUGACUAAGCUGCCUAAAAGCUUUCCAGAAUUUUGCUGCUUGGAAGCAUCCUCAUGACUGUACUGUAUGCUUUGACUUAUAGUCUAAAUUGGUAUUUCCAGUAAUAAUAAUAAGAAGAAGAAGGAGAAGAAGAAGCUGGUUGAUUACUGUCAUCAAUUCCUAGCUGCUAGAAAUGACCAAACUUUUUUUUUCAAAUAUUUUUCUAAUGACAGGAUAGAAAAUAAAAAAGCCCUACCAUUCUUGAACCAAAAUAUGAGUUAGGCUAGUUCUAAAAAUAAGAGAAUGGAAAAUUCUACCUCUUGAAAAAUUAUUUAAAAAAUAUGAAGUCACUAUGUAAAAUGCAAUAAAGUAGACACAAUCUUAGUGGCUUAGAUACAAAGUAAACCUGUGGUACAGUGACUGGUAGCAGCCCUUUGGGUAGCUAUUGCUCAUCUCACGGUAUAUUGAUGUCUCUACUAGGCCUGAACUUGCUAGACGUGACACUCCAAUCUCAGAGUAGAUUACUGCAGUAGCUUGUUGCCUUAAGACAUACAAAUUCAAUCAUUCUAAAUUCACCACAAAUAAAUUUUUAUGAUACAUAUAAAUUCCCUGUUGUGUACAUCAAAACCUGACCAUGACCAGACUGUCAAUACACAGCAUAUGAGGAUGUUUUGUAGUUCUUUCAUACUGCUGGGCUUGCUUUUCUUUCGCAGCAUUUGUAUAUAUAUUUUUAUAACAGGAGGAAAUGAUAAGAGCCUUGCAUUAUGCUGAAAGACAUGAAAACAUGAGAUUAUUUGUAUUGGUCUAAUGUGGUGCAGAAUAGCCUUUGAGAAUUGAAUAGAGCCACGCUCUUUUGUCUUGAACUGAGGCAGACUCAAAAAAUGAAUAUUGACAUUGCAGAAAUUAUUUCCACAUGCAUGAGCUGCCUAGGAAACACAGGCUGAGAAAAAGUUUACAGGGAUCACAAGAGAGAAAAGAGUGAAUUUAAAAUACCUGGAGGAGAAAAUACUAAGAAAACAGUAUGUCCUCUCCUGCUGAAGGCUUAAUUGACUUUGGUCUGAGCCUUCUGGCUUGAGGAAUUUUGGAUCCUGCUACCUGAAGGACUGGCCACAUGCAUUUGUUUCAGAAAGCCUUGCCUAGUCGUAGAGCACUGCUGACUCUCUGACUUCUUUAAAAGAAGACAAGGGUGGCUCUGUUUCAGCGCUGUACUCACUCACUGGUCUAGGCAAUGGAGUGGCUCCAAAGAGGGAUGAAGAAAGUCUGCAAAUCAUGAACGAGGAUGGGGGCAAGGAUGAAUCUGGUCAUCUUCACUGAAUAUUUUGGAGGAAGAGGUUUUUUCUGAGAAUUAAGAUGUCAGGAGACUUGGUAGCAGCAAGAGAAAAUAGCAUCUGUAUAAAGUUGAAUCCAAGUUCUUUUAAGAGGAAAGCAGUGAUAGGACAGGAAAAGAGACACCAAACACAAUGUGGGAAAUCCUCGCUUGUUGUUACUAUUUUUUUUCCACUGGACAAAAGUGACCUCAGCAGGCCUUACUCUGAGCAAGUAAUUUUCCAAAAUAACCUAUGGAGGUGACUUCCAGCCUGAAUUAUUCUGAGACUCUGAGUUGCAUCCUACAGCUUGUAAUAGAAGGAUAUUGGCUAUCAUGCAUGAGGAUGGAGCAGUGUGCGUGUCUGACUCAUUAUUAAGUUGGAGUCACUCAUGAAUUCAGUGUAUUUCGUGACAGAAUGUCAAAUUCUGUGGGGAACCAACAGCUACAAACUUUGACUUUCCAAGGCUAGAGAUUAUUUGCUGACUCUUAUCAUAUGACUCUUAUAGUAUGACUUAUUAUCACUAAUAAAUGCUGGUAUUUAUUCUAUCCAGCACUGUCAGAUGAUCCCUUUGAACUUAUCAUGAUGCUUUGGACCAGGGCAAAGAGCCCAGCUCCUGUGAAAAGGCAACGGUGUUCUUUGGCCAAAUUUUCCAACCCUCCUGUUCCUCAUCUAAAGCUUGGUCUGCAGGGAAAAAACGUCAAGCAAAUGGCAGUGGGAUGGAUCAAAGCAAGUGCUCUUGGCUACACCCUGUUCUUGAGGGAUGCUCUGGGGACAAAGAUGUCUGUUGGUACUUCAUCACAAUGGUAAUGCUCUAGGUUGCAGUGGGUGAGUUGAUGGAUUGCUGUUUACAUUAAUAUUUUCUGCUGAAAAGCAAAAUUCAAGGAGCAGCUCUGAUAUUUUAUCUUAUUUUUGUGGGAACACGGCCAGUGUUGCCCAUAACUCAUACUAUGGUAUGACUAGGACUCUGGUAAGUCACAGAGCAUUUCAAAACUGAGACUGACAACUUCUAAAUUUAAGCUUAGUUAUGCAUGUGUUUUGUUAACCAUAUUAUGUACUUACAGCAGCUUUUUAUAAGUGAAGAACAAGACAACUUUUCAUUAUCUAGCUAGAUAAGUGCCACCAACAAAAGAGCAAAAGAAGUUUAAUUUGGUCAAAAAUCCCAGUUUCAGCGAUAUUCAAAAUACAGAAUUUAAUGGAGACGUUUUCAUUUGCAUUUCCAUAGCAUAGAAAGGAGGCUGGAGGCACUAGCAGCAGUACCUCAGAUUGCUGCAGUAGCUGCCUUUAUGUUUGUACCCCAAAAAACAUUUCAUUGUCUUGUCAUGAGUAAGUGCAUGUGUGUGCCCUGUGUGCAGACAGUUUGAUUACUCCUGUCAUGCAAAGCCGAGCAGAGAUGUGCUGUUUCCUGCAUGAACUGCCAUAUCUUCCCAGCUCACAAGUGAAAGGCUAAACAUUAAGCAGAGCCUAACAAGAUUUCAGCUCUGCAGCACAUUUUAAUUUUCAGCAGUUUGUUGGGUAUAUGGCAGAAUACAGUCUUUCCUAGGGGGAAAAAAGCAACAUGGUUAACAUGGGAUAGAUUUCAUUCAGUGUACUCUGUUUCCUUCCAUUAUUGUAUUUGCCAGAGGAACUAUUUAGUGAGAAGCUUUCUCACGGUAUUUUGUACAAUUCAAGUGUUUUUAAUUUGUCUGGGGAUUUUUUUUUUUGUUUCAUUGGGUUUUUUUUUAAUUUGUUUUCAAGAAAGCACUAGUUUAGAGAUUACAUUUUCUGAAGCCACUGGAUUUCAGUCAUUUUAGACACAUAGUGAGAAGGGAGCAGACAGUAAGAACUAAAAAAGAUUAUUUUUCUCAUUACUGGUAAGAACAUCCUCAUCUGAGUCCCAUUGGAGAGGUAACUGCCCACAUUAAUAAAAUAAACCAAUAUAUAAUCACUACCAGUCUUAAUGCUGGGGCUGAAUGACCUAAUUUAUUAACUCAUUUAUGAUGUGUUUUCAUAGUGUGGCCUCUCUUGUGUUACCUGAGUAAAUAGAAGAGGUGCAGAUGCUUGCCAGAGGUUCAGAGCAUCAUAAAUUUGUCUUACAGGCUAACCUGAAUAUCCCUUAUAGAUUCACUGGUCCUCACUUUCUGGACUCAGUCUUUAAAAUGGGCAUGAAAGCUAGAAAUGCAAUAUUUAUACUUACAGAUCCAAUUGUUGUAACUCAGGUCAGUUGAACAGCAAGAAUAAACUAGAGAAACGGGAGUAGCACAUAAAUCAACUCUUUUAUUAAUAAUUUUCCACUGGCGUUAAUGAAGCUGUCUUCUUUAUCAUCUCAGACAUAGUGAAAAGUUAUUGCACUGUCUUUGUAGAGGCCUUUUCAGUCUCUUACAGAUCUAAUUACCUAAUUGAGGGACAACUAGUUUAGAGAUGAACAGAAUUUUUGCUCUGUGGUUUGUUUCUUUCUGUGGUUCCUUCUGAGAUUUCUGUGUUUUUUCUUAAUGAGGUUAUCCAUCUUCUAAGGAAGCUGACUGUGUGCUUUGGAGUCCAUUUGCUGAGGAUGGUGAGCAAGAGCUGCUGUGUGUCAAUAAAAGCAGAUCCAUGAAAAAAUCCAGUAGCUAAUCCAGUUCUCCAAGAACAACCAAUGAAAGUAAAUUGAUGUCACCCUUCAGCCCUGUGCCGUGAGGGUUCCCAGAUGAAGGCAGGCAGUGAUUGUGUCUUGAGCAAAUCCCUUAGUGUGCUGAUGACUGGACCAGUCUCACAGCAAAGCUACUAGGCACAGUCCACCAGCAGUUUAGGCACUAUGGCACCUGUGUAAAAGGCAGCUGAGAUGCUGGGUUGGGCAGAGACACCACAACAUCCUUCUGUGCUUGAGAACAGUCACAAAACUUUCCAGGGGAGUGGGACCCGCCAAGGGUGACUACUCUCACCACUGCUCAGCAUCAUCUCUUUGCCAGUGGAAGAAAUUAUGACAUGUGUCUCAAGACUUGUCUUUUUAAUGCCAGUAAUGUAAUUUCUUCCUCUUUCAAAACUGAUUCAUUUGAAGCCCUUACUUGAGGCUGGUUUUCCAUGAACAUAUUCAUUUUUCUAGAAUGAAGUCAGGUUUUUCAACUGCCUUCUUGAUUAGUCUAAUGAAUUUUCCUCUUUUCCUGUCAUCAAAUGCACUUUUCUGGAGGAUGGGACAGUUCAUCUCUGAAGGAAAAUUAUUCUUCUGUGACAAAGUUUUAAAUGAAAAUUUUGGAAAUGCCUAAUAGUUAUGGGGUUCUCAAUAUUUCAGGUACUCAGUUCAAAACAUUGUAAAGUGGCAACAAAUGCUGAUUAGCUGCCCUCUAGUCCCUGAUGCUAUUUAUUUGAGGUGUCCUAAAUUAGCAAAAAAGACCAUCAUUCAUUUUUUUUCCCAAAAUAUGUCUCAGACAUUCAAACAUCUAAUUCUGCCCCAGUUCAGAAGGCUGUCUGACUGUUGCCAAGCAUAAAGUUUAAACAAACAGAUGAAUAAAUACUUGGCUCUUUUUAAUUGCUUCUUGUUCUCUGAACUUUCCAGAUUUGUGUUUUCAAUGUAAUUCUUUUCACAGAGAGACUUCUGUCUCCCCUUGCUUUCUAACUAACUAGCUAGGUUAAGAUGCUAAAAUCUUGCACAACAGAAGGAACUUGACUAUAUAAAUAUCUUUGCCUACAGCCUUGGCCUAAGCACAGAGACCAGAGCCUACACUCACCUUGACUCUACGUCCCAGCCAGCACCAACUAGUCACUGUACAAGUGAGGUGGCAAAUACUCUUCUGUACUUGCCUUAUGCAAAUCUUCAUCUUUCUGCACAGCAUCUCCUGUGAUCAAGACUCAGUCCCUGUGGUGCCCAGCUGCUCAUUUUUGCCCAGGCAUUCUGCAGGUUUCCAUCAUUUGUCUCAACAUUGCAUGGAAAAAAGGACUGGGGGAGGUAACUUCCAUGCUUCACAUAUGAGGUACAAAUUACAUUAAUUUUUACCUGUCCUGCUUAAUAUAAAUCAAGUAUUUCCUUUUUGUAGAUUUAUUAUUUACUCGUGCUAGAAAAUGGUGAUGUUAAUGUUCACUUCCUCCCUAGGCUUGAAUGCCCAAAGACACUGUGAGUGUUCACCAAAUGUUCCUUAAAGAACAACUCAGUCUGAGAAAUCCUCCCACAAAUCCUGCACUUAUGUACGUGAUCAGCCUUGCCAAUCCACUGCAGACUGCAAACAGCCAUAGACAGGGUUCCAAACAGUUAAUGUCAAAUAGCUCGUUUUCUCUCAUCUCCAUACAAAUUCCUGUCAUGUUGCAUUACAUGUAAACAACUGAGAAACUUAAUGACAUGCCUUUCAGUCAAAAAUUCAUAUGGCUUUUCAGUCUGAGCAGAUUAAUUGCGGUUUGUAACAAUAUGAAAUGAUUCAAUUUGAUUAGAGUUUCUAUUGUUCUUUGAGAUAAAAUAUUUUAUAAGCAUGUAAAGCCAAGUUUUCUGCUGGCACGACUUUACUGACUUCUUUGGAAAUAUAAAAUACUCAUCUAAAAUCCAUAGUAUAUCAUUGUUGGUGUGCUAUUACAGUAAAUAAAUUUUAAUAGCUUCUGUAAAUUCUAUGUGCCAGAUCAGAUUCCAGGCCCCAUGGAAAUGUCUUUGUCAAUUAAGUGAGGCAGUAGGAAUAUUUGGCUUUUGAGGAGACAAUUCUGAAUGACUCUUUAAGGUUUUUAUAAAUUUGAAGGGUUUUUCUAUUUCUAUUUUUUCAGCAUCCCUGUCUUCUUUUUGAUGUCUUGCUCUUAAAAUCUGCUUGUAAUUCUCUUUCGGUUCAUUUCUAUGUUCUCUAGGGUCAUUUCUAUGUUCUUGCUGCGGACAUUGCUCUGGUGUUCUGUAGUCAUCCCAUAGAUCCAAACCCAGAAGCCCUGCAACACAAGUUCUGCUGCCAAUAGGGGUAAUGUGAGGAACUUCAAUGAAACCUCAAUCUGUUUGCCAUCAAUGCUGUCAUUGUGGUGGUGACAUGGGCUGUUACAGCUAAGAGAGAAGAAUGCAGAAAGUAAGGGGGUUUGACCCUACAGCUUGAAAUGCUCAAAGGUUUAGUGUUUUGAGUAAGGCAAUAAUCCAAAGCCUAUCAAGGCAGAAGAAAAAACAGCCUUUGGCUCCAGUGAGCAUUGCAUCAGGCCUUCAGAUGACUGGCAAUCAGCAGACUUCAUACUGUGUAAUUCUGUAUGAAAGAAGCACUAGUUCUCCAACAUACAGUCAGCUGAGGAGGAAUAAGACAUGCUGUGUCUUUGCAACUCACCCUUCUGGCCAGCAGACAUCCCUGUCACUGCAGGCGAUGUGGAUGUUCUUGCACAACUGGUGGAGAGACAUCUAGCUCUGCUUUGCAACUGCUGCUUCCUGCUAAGCCAUCACCAGAGAAAGAAUUAGCAGAGAUUCCAUUGUCACAUACCUCCAACCUGAACUCUGGGCUAUAUUUAAAUGAGCACAGGAAAGAGACUGAAGACUCUAUGACCCCUAUGAAUUGGGGGAUUGGUUUUUCUAAACUGGAGGGUCAAUGUCAGAAGAUCAGAUUACAAGUGUCUACCUGUGUGUUUUCGUGGUGUGGUGGGUCAUCUGGAGUUCAGGCUCUGUAAACUCCAAGGAGGUGAUUCCAGAGCAGUUUAAGCACUUCAGCAAUUCCUAGCACUGGUGGUCUCAUUUUGGGAAGGAUUUCCUAACAUGUUUGAAAGCCAAAAGCUUCUUUGCUAAAUUAAUAAAGAAGAGUGAACCAGUGGGUAAGUCUGUAGAAGAUAGACAAAAUCAGGCUAAUUUGUUAUAUAAUCCCUUUUUAAUGUGGAGAAUUAGGGUGAUGGCAAGACGACUACAUGUUUAAUUCUCCAAAUAAUUACUGGUGUGUAUUGACAUUAAAGGUGAGAGAGAGCAAGUUAAUUUCUGCUUGUUGUUUUCAGCACGUGCCAAACUCUUACUUCACACCAGUGAGAAAAGGAUGGAAGUUGUAUAUUCCAUAUGCGUGAAGUAACAGUUGGCACAAAUCACCAAAAGAAGAAAAUUAAAAACCACUAAAGCCCAGCAGCCCAAACUGCCACUUGCUGACGAGUUUUUUUAGUCUCUCUGCUAAAAAAAAAACAAACCAAAAAAAACCCCUGAAGGCCUCAAACAAAGUAUUCCACCUGAAUAAACCUGGGUGUCUGUUUAGGUCCUCCUCAAUGCAAAUAUGGUGUGAGAAGGCAGCAACAGCCUUGCUUUUCCAGCCUCCUCCUCCUCUACACCUUUCUGAAGUGCUGUCAUGGGCAGUCACAGAGUGGGCAGGGGAGGAUGACAGCACUUGCCUCAGGUUGGUGGUCCUUUCUUCUGUUGGCAGUCUUGGCUAUGAAAAAACGUCCUUUGCCAUUGGUAGGAAUAGAGGUGCUUGGAGCUGCUCUGCCGUGUAAAUCAGAAUAAUGGAGUUUUAUGUCUGCCCUUUGCUGGCAUUAUUGAAUUUGACCCAAAACAGCUGGAGGUAGCUGUAUCUGCACAACCUGCCUCUAACUUAUGUGUCCUUAUGAAGGCCUUGGGAUAUCUUUGGCAUUUAUCCAUGGCUGCCAGUGCUUCAGAGGCACAAAGGGGUUCUAAUGUCCCACCCAGCCCCCUGCUCAACCUGCCCAAGGACCUGCUGUCCAUGUCAGCUCCCUGAGCCCACCUACCUCAGUGAUGCUGCUGCAGGGCCAGGCUCCAGCUGCCCACAGCCCUGCCUGGCCAGGGCCCCACAGAGACGGACACACAUCCCAUCCUGUCACCAUAGCUCAUGUGGUGCCCUGGCAAUGGCUGUAGGUUACAGGAGUUUUCCCACAUGCUUUCUGUUCAAGAUGAUGUCCUUUGCUCACAGGAUGCCAUGACCACCUAAGUCUUCUCUGUCAUUUGCAUGAGUACACACAUAAGUAUACUUAUCGAGAGUCAAGCCAUGUGUAUGAAAUAUGGGAUAAAGCUCACAGAAGUAUUCUAUAUUGUUACUCUAAGGUUAGCUCCCUGUCCUGCAAUCUCCCUUUCCCCUCUAGUUUGGUAUCUACAGGGAAGAAGAAAAGCUGGGGAUGAAGUGAGGCAGCUUGUAAAGCAAGGAAUGACAGGCAAAUCCAUAUCAGGAGUUAAUUUCAGCAUGUUUCAUAUCAAAUCACUCAGGAAUCACAAAAAUUUACUUCUUUACUCCUAUUUUGUUGAUGGCUAGAAUAUUACUUCUAAGCCAAAGCUUUCAUGUUCAAAUCACUCCCUUAUUUUAUUUUUAAAAAAAGAAUCUGUUUUGCAGUUUGACAUGUUUCUUGUUUUCAGACUGCUGAUUUUCUGUGUGGUUAACUCUAGGCUUCCUACAACUGACAGCUUAUUAUCUCACCUUAUGAAAAUUAUGCAUGGCUUCUGGGACUCAUCUAUCAAAAGGAGAGAGCACAACACUCUGAGAAGUUGGUGCCUUCUCUCUAGUUAUCUGGGUUUAUGGUUGUUCAGUGAAACUAUUAACUGCCUGGAGUGACUUGUAUCUUUACAGGUAUGAGACUGUAUUGUCUUUCUUUGCUGUGCUUAAAUGGCAGAUGCUACCCCUGUGUCAUGUCCUGGUUUAACUUUAUCUCUGGCCUGGUGGUUCCAAGUGCAGCUGGCUAUGUUCUCAUUGGACAGUGGACUCUUCAUGUGUCUGCAGAUGAAAUGGCUGUAGGUGAAUGUUUCAUCUUCCCCUUAUCUCAUAUUCUCUGAAAACCGUCUCAGUUCAAGAUUUAUGCCUUUCAGUGGAGCACUUAAACACACAGCUCUAAGCACUUAAUUUCCUAUGGUUUCAUGGCACAGAGAUGGAUUUCAGUGCCUACUCAUAGUUCAUGGCUUGCCAGCACUUUAACAGUUUCUUUUGCAGUGGCCAGAUAAAAGUUAGGAGCCAGCCCUGACAGUCCUGUGCCUGGGGCUAUGGUUUGCUUUCUGGUAGUGAUGCCAUUCAAGCCUUUCAUGAUAAUCCCACAUAGAGACUGAUGGAGCCUGAGAUCCAGCUGCUCACUGAGGAUUAAGGAAAGGUGCUCUCCUAGGCCUGACCUAAAGGGAAAUAGGAGAAGGAAAGAUUCCCCCUUCUUUCUCUAGUUGUGGCUACUGGUAGCACCAUGCUCUGCUAGAGCAGACCACCCCAGUAGCACGAUAGGUGUCAAGCCUUUAUGCUGUGGCCAUAAUAUAUCAAUCUGCCAGCACAUCCUUUCCAAAUCCUAUGCCAUCAUCUCUAGUCACCCACACCCACUCUUCUCUGCUGUGUCUCCUCCCAGGAUCAGCUCACCCUUAAAAGUAUGUUUAAGGGCAGCUCAGAAAGUGAAAAUGGGGGGGAAGGCAUAAUUCAUCUUGUUGAUGAUGUGACAGAGCUAACAAAGUCUGAGCACCUUGUCCACAGUGGGAUAAGGGCAUAAGAAAUAACUGAUCACAAGGAUAAGAGAAAAAUAAAUAGGCCAUAUUUAUCUGAAUGGUAGAAAUAACUUUUGUGGGUGAUGCCAAAAUGUAAUGGGAUGUGUUGAAAUGUGGCCGGUGAUAGACUCCAGCUUUUCACUCUGGUUACAACAGAGGGAAGUUGAGAAGCUGUACCUGUCCUGGCAGGAGGGGUUGUGAGGAAGUAUGAAAUAAUCAGUAUCAAACUGAGACUUUUCAGAGAGUUUUUAGCUGGAAUAUGGAAAUAUCUUUGGAAGCUUUAUGAUGAUUUAAUUUUACUGGAAUUUGUAUGCGUUAACUUUUUUUUUAUGGCAAUGCAGAAGGAGUUUGGCUUAAGACUAGCUGCCACUGGCUUCCCAAGAAUUAUAAAGCCAAGAUAAUAAAUGACCUUGAUCAGAAGACACACCUCACUCUUGUCCCCCUGUGGUCCUGUUCCAGUCAGUUUCCAGCCCAAGAAGCUGCUGGAGCAGAGUAAACUGCAAUCUCCAAUUGGCAGAGCUGUGACCAGCUUUAUUUAUAAAGGCUUGUGAUAGAGCCUACUCUGCUCUCAUUUAUACCAGGUAAAAACAUGAUAUGAGUUGUUAGCCCAAUUCUUGUACUUUUGUGCUGUUGCAGCAAAAGAAAGGUGUCAGGAAAUGCUCUCACCAAUAAUGUCUGAAGUCAUUCUGUAAAGGAGCAGCUUGGCUUGGGCAGUCCCAGGACCCUGCUCUGCUCCUCAUGCUGACAGCAUAGCUGAGAGCCUCUGGGAGUGUGGUCACCCAAAGGCUCUGGGCUGCUGGCAGAGUCUAAGUGGCUUGGCUCUGCAGAGGAGCCCUGUGGCUGCUGUCUUACCAGCUGCUGGCAAUUUGGACAAGCUGCACUUGUGCCCCUAUGCCACCCUGAUUUUAAAUGUGGCCACCUGGGAUGGCUAAAACUGAGGUGAAAAACUGGAAUACUUUUUUCAAAUGUGACUUUUAAGUUGUGUAGGUAAUGAUAGGCAAGUUAAGUCA